AACGCUAGCUACAGGCUUAACACAUGCAAGUCGAGGGACAGCAUGAACUUAGCUUGCUAAGUUUGAUGGCGACCGGCGCACGGGUGAGUAACACGUAUCCAACCUGCCGAUGACUCGGGGAUAGCCUUUCGAAAGAAAGAUUAAUACCCGAUGGCAUAUUUCUUCCGCAUGGUAGAACUAUUAAAGAAUUUCGGUCAUCGAUGGGGAUGCGUUCCAUUAGGUUGUUGGCGGGGUAACGGCCCACCAAGCCUUCGAUGGAUAGGGGUUCUGAGAGGAAGGUCCCCCACAUUGGAACUGAGACACGGUCCAAACUCCUACGGGAGGCAGCAGUGAGGAAUAUUGGUCAAUGGGCGAGAGCCUGAACCAGCCAAGUAGCGUGCAGGAGGACGGCCCUAUGGGUUGUAAACUGCUUUUAUACAGGAAUAAAGUUAGCCACGUGUGGUUAUUUGUAGGUACUGUAUGAAUAAGGACCGGCUAAUUCCGUGCCAGCAGCCGCGGUAAUACGGAAGGUCCAGGCGUUAUCCGGAUUUAUUGGGUUUAAAGGGAGCGUAGGCCGUCUGUUAAGCGUGUUGUGAAAUGUAGAUGCUCAACAUCUGAAUUGCAGCGCGAACUGGCAGACUUGAGUGUGCGCAACGUAGGCGGAAUUCGUGGUGUAGCGGUGAAAUGCUUAGAUAUCACGAAGAACUCCGAUUG
rnacentral:rRNA from 1 species